UACUUUUAUAUAUGCCUUGGGUCAGUUACCAUUCAUGUUGAGUGAGUCCAUGGUGGUAUUUGAUUUGGCGUUAAGUCCCAUGUUUAUGGUUGAGUUUGAUUACAGGCCUAAUCGGUGGCCAUAGACUCAUGUGGAGCAUUUCUUAUUGAUAUAUUUGAUUGUGAUGGUUGUCCCGGAUGCGGAAGAAUGUAAGUAUUGUAAAGAUUGAAGUUAAAGAUGCUUAAUGGAUAUUGGUUGCUUUGGUUAAAUGCGGAUAAUGGCAUUGGUAAUAGGACCCAUAGUGACCCCUUUGAACUAUCGGCUCUUUGUACGCUUGUUAUGUCUUUUUGGAGAAUUAUUAUGAUGUCUAGUGUUGGACUCGAGUUUUUGGGUAUUUCAAAUGGGUCGUUUUGUAGUUGUAAUGUAUUGAUUUUGUUUAAACGUGUUUUGGAGAAACUCAUAAUCCGUAACAGGUUUGGAUGAUGAUUUUACGAA